rnacentral:rRNA from 1 species
CGUAGGUAAUCUACCUUUGAGUGGGGAAUAACAAUCGGAAACGAUUGCUAAUACCGCAUAAUGCAGCGGCAUCGCAAGAUGACAGUUGUUAAAGGAGCAAUUCGCUUAAAGAGGAGCCUGCGGCAGAUUAGCUAGUUGGUAAGGUAAUGGCUUACCAAGGCUACGAUCUGUAACCGACCUGAGAGGGUGGUCGGUCACACUGACACUGAAUAACGGGUCAG